AUGAUGUGAAGACCGCAUAGCGCAGUGGAUUAGCGCGUCUGACUUCGGAUCAGAAAGUCGUGGGUUCGACUCCCACUGUGGUCGUCUUCUUCUUUUCUUUUUUUUAUCGCUGAUUAAUCUGGUACGUUGGAUCGUAGUAGAUUGGACGGUCCAGAUGCUCUCUGCUGCUGCUGCUUGUGGUCUGG
rnacentral:tRNA from 1 species